rnacentral:sRNA from 2 species
AUACAAUCUGUUUGAACAAUAGUAUUUUCUCUGAGAUAUAUAAAAUUUCUAAAUAUUUUGUACUUGCUUUAAACAAAAGAUGCAAUCAAUGAAUAGCUAGUGAAAUGAAUUAUAUUAUACAAAACUUGUGUAUAGAAACACAUUUUUUCAGAAGCAGUGGAUGCAGAAGAGAGAUAUGAAAAAUAAAGAGAGAGAUCACUGAAGAUAUAUAAUAUCUCUAAGAAAGUGAAUGAAAGUGAGGAAUCAGUGUGAGAGAAGAGAGAGGAAUUGAUGUGAAUAGAAGAGAUAGAAUUGAGAGCAGCAGAGAAAGCAC